rnacentral:rRNA from 1 species
UUCGUAGGCGGGAUAUUAAGUCAGUGGUGAAAUCCUACAGCUUAACUGUAGAACUGCCAUUGAUACUGAUAUUCUUGAAUUCACCUGAAGUAGGCGGAACAUGACAUGUAGCGGUGAAAUGCUUAGAUAUGUCAUAGAACACCGAUUGCGAAGGCAGCUUACUAAAGUGAUAUUGACGCUAAGGAACGAAAGCGUGGGGAGCGAACAGGAUUAGAUACCCUGGUAGUC